UAAUACAAGAGAAAAGAGAGGUUGCUUCAACAACCUCCCUUAGUAGCACCGUUUAAGACGGUGACCAUUUAACUGAAUUAUUUUCGA
rnacentral:sRNA from 1 species